rnacentral:sRNA from 1 species
CUGCAAAUGAAAAUUCAAAAAAGAAAAUGUCAUAUAUACCAAUGCUUUACUGAAAAUACUGUACCAACCUUGAUCUCUAGUCCUUAUUGAACCACCGUGGAAGUCGCUCUCCUUUCCAAAGACUGUUUCCUUAACGUGGCCAACUUGUCCCAUACAGCUUCGCCAUCCAAAUAACAUCCCUUCAGCCACCUAGACUCUUCGGUUGUCGAACAGCACUAGGUCCCCUUCUUGCAUGGUAAACUCAUAUCGAUAACGAGGGUCGCUUAGGCGUUCUUCAAAAUCCGCAAUAGCUUGAAGCACUUUUUGUUCGUGCUUGGCGGCCGCAACGAAAUCAUGCUGGGGAAAGUCCAAAGCUUCGGCAGCGGCGCGGAAAGGGGGACUCCAGUUAACGGCGGCAUGCCGAUUGCCUCGACCACGGACAAAAUCAGAACUGAUGAUGGGAUGACGAUAGCGAAGAUAAUGAUUGUCAUUGUCGUAUUGAUAGGUUAUAUUGAUUUUCUGCAGGAAUUCGAAUUGAUCUCGUGGUAGGUCGGAGACGGUGCGAAAAGAGUCAACAAAGUAAGAGCUACCCCCUUCAACCCUGUUACGGAGGCAGUGAAGAGCUUGGAAGCGAGGAGGGGAUGAAAAGUAAAGAAGAUCCAUAUGUAAACCAAGGUUGAGAUUGGUAUAACUGAAUGAACGCAUUAG